UGCAGAGGGUCACUGAGCUCUCCCGCCUUCCAACACUUGACUUGACUACGACUCCAAAAUUACAUUCAGGCAUCAUUGGCUGCCACAUCAAUUUCAGCGACAUCA